rnacentral:rRNA from 1 species
GGACCAAAGAAUUAUCGCCCAGGGAUGAGCCCGCGUAAGAUUAGCUAGUUGGUGGGGUAAUGGCCUACCAAGGCGACGAUCCUUAGCUGGUCUGAGAGGAUGAUCAGCCACACUGGGACUGAGACACGGCCCAGACUCCUACGGGAGGCAGCAGUGGGGAAUAUUGGACAAUGGGCGAAAGCCUGAUCCAGCAAUGCCGCGUGGGUGAUGAAGGCCUUAGGGUUGUAAAGCUCUUUUACCGGAGAUGAUAAUGACAGUACUUGGAGAAUAAGCCCCGGCUAACUCCGUGCCAGCAUCCGCGGUAAU